UGGGGAAUUUUGCACAAUGGGGGAAACCCUGAUGCAGCGACGCCGCGUGAUUUAGAAGGCCUUCGGGUUGUAAAAAUCUUUUCUAUGGGAAGAAAAUGAAAGUACCAUAGGAAUAAGGACCGGCUAAUUACGUGCCAGCAGCCGCGGUAAUACGUAAGGUCCGAGCGUUGUCCGGAAUCAUUGGGCGUAAAGGGUACGUAGGCGGGUAAGCAAGUUAGAAGUGAAAUCCUAUAGCUCAACUAUAGUAAGCUUUUAAAACUGCUCAUCUUGAGGUAUGGAAGGGAAAGUGGAAUUCCUAGUGUAGCGGUGAAAUGCGCAGAUAUUAGGAGGAAUACCGGUGGCGAAGGCGACUUUCUGGCCAUAACCUGACGCUGAGAUACGAAAGCGUGGGUAGCAAACAGG
rnacentral:rRNA from 1 species